UGGGGAAUAUUGCACAAUGGGGGAAACCCUGAUGCAGCGACGCCGCGUGAACGAAGAAGGCAUUCGUAUCGUAAAGUUCUGUCCUAUGGGAAGAUAAUGACAGUACCAUAGAAGAAAGCUCCGGCUAAAUACGUGCCAGCAGCCGCGGUAAUACGUAUGGAGCGAGCGUUGUCCGGAAUUAUUGGGCGUAAAGGGUACGCAGGCGGUUUAAUAAGUCGAAUGUUAAAGAUCGGGGCUCAACCCCGUAAAGCAUUGGAAACUGAUAAACUUGAGUAGUGGAGAGGAAAGUGGAAUUCCUAGUGUAGUGGUGAAAUACGUAGAUAUUAGGAGGAAUACCAGUAGCGAAGGCGACUUUCUGGACACAAACUGACGCUGAGGUACGAAAGCGUGGGGAGCAAACAGG
rnacentral:rRNA from 1 species